rnacentral:misc_RNA from 1 species
AACGCACCUUGCGCUCCGUGGUAUUCCGCGGAGCAUGCCUGUUUGAGUGUCGCGCCCCCCUCUCAACCCCGCCGGCUCGCCUCGUGCGCCGGCCGCGGGCUUGGAUCGUGGCCCCUCUGCCUCUGGGCGGACGGCCGAAAUGCCUGAGCCCACUGUUGGCACGCGGUCUGACCGGAACGUUGUACGCACCUCGUUCUCGGGACGCGCGCCUCCUGCGGCUGCGAAUCGCGCACUCUAGUGACCUCGACCUCAAAUCAGGCAGGACGACCCGCUGAACUUAA